AUUGAACGCUGGCGGCAGGCCUAACACAUGCAAGUCGAACGAGUGGCGGACGGGUGAGUAAUGUCUGGGCAACUGCCUGAUGGAGGGGGACAACUACUGGAAACGGUAGCUAAUACCGCAUACCAUCGGAUGUGCCCAGAUGGGAUUAGCUAGUAGGUGGGGUAACGGCUCACCUCGGCGACGAUCCCUAGCUGGUCUGAGAGGAUGACCAGGAACACUGCAACUAGGACACGGUCUAGACUCCGACGGGAGGCAGCAGUGGGGAAUAUUGCACAAGGGGCGCAAGCGUGAUGCAGCCAUGCCGCGUGUAUGAAGAAGGCCUUCGGGUUGUAAAGUACGUUCAGCGGGGAGGCGUUACCCGCAGAAGAAGCACCGGCUAACUCCGUGCCAGCAGCCGCGGUAAUAA
rnacentral:rRNA from 1 species